rnacentral:rRNA from 1 species
UCAGGCCUAACACAUGCAAGUCGAGCGGACAGAAGGGAGCUUGCUCCCGGAUGUUAGCGGCGGACGGGUGAGUAACACGUGGGUAACCUGCCUGUAAGACUGGGAUAACUCCGGGAAACCGGAGCUAAUACCGGAUAGUUCCUUGAACCGCAUGGUUCAAGGAUGAAAGACGGUUUCGGCUGUCACUUACAGAUGGACCCGCGGCGCAUUAGCAAGUUGGUGGGGUAAUGGCUCACCAAGGCGACGAUGCGUAGCCGACCUGAGAGGGUGAUCGGCCACACUGGGACUGAGACACGGCCAAGACUCCUACGGGAGGCAGCAGUAGGGAAUCUUCCGCAAUGGACGAAAGUCUGACGGAGCAACGCCGCGUGAGUGAUGAAGGUUUUCGGAUCGUAAAGCUCUGUUGUUAGGGAAGAACAAGUGCGAGAGUAACUGCUCGCACCUUGACGGUACCUAACCAGAAAGCCACGGCUAACUACGUGCCAGCAGCCGCGGUAAUACGUAGGUGGCAAGCGUUGUCCGGAAUUAUUGGGCGUAAAGGGCUCGCAGGCGGUUUCUUAAGUCUGAUGUGAAAGCCCCCGGCUCAACCGGGGAGGGUCAUUGGAAACUGGGAAACUUGAGUGCAGAAGAGGAGAGUGGAAUUCCACGUG